CGGACGGGGGAGUAAUGUCUGGGAAACUGCCCGAUGGAGGGGGAUAACUACUGGAAACGGUAGCUAAUACCGCAUAACGUCGCAAGACCAAAGAGGGGGACCUUCGGGCCUCUUGCCAUCGGAUGUGCCCAGAUGGGAUUAGCUAGUAGGUGGGGUAACGGCUCACCUAGGCGACGAUCCCUGGCUGGUCUGAGAGGAUGACCAGCCACACUGGAACUGAGACACGGUCCAG
rnacentral:rRNA from 1 species